rnacentral:tRNA from 1 species
ACCUUCGUGGUGUAGUGGUCAGCACGCAUUCAUUCGGCACGCAUUCGAGAGGUUCGAGGUUCGAGUCCCGGCGAAGGCA